AUGAAGCAUACAAUGUUCACCAUCCAGCCCACAAGUCUUUUGCAACUGAUAUCCCCAGCCAGUGACUGCAGAGUAUUAUUGAAUCUUUGAGUUCCUUGCACUGGAAUUUGCAAUCUGGAAAGCUAGAAAAUUGCGCUUUGAAUGCUUGUUUGGAAAUUAUCAAAACCGUCACUUUAGCCACCACUCGAGGAGAAGAAACAGCAAAUGAAGAGCCAUAGGCAUAUGCCUUCUGCCUCUGAAAUCACAGCUGGCUUCACAACUCUUCUCUGUUCCCCCGCUGCCUCCUAUGCCACAGAGCAGAUGUAUAUGGUGGAGAAGGAGGAUAAGAAUGGCUG